rnacentral:rRNA from 1 species
UGGGAAACGGGUUAAUAUUCCCGUACUUGGUGUUACUGCGAAGGGGGGACGGAGAAGGCUAUGUUGGCCGGGCGACGGUUGUCCCGGUUUAAGCGUGUAGGUGUGUGUUCCAGGUAAAUCCGGUUCACUUUAACACUGAGGCGUGAUGACGAGGCACUACGGUGCUGAAGCAACAAAUGCCCUGCUUCCAGGAAAAGCCUCUAAGCAUCAGGUAACAUCAAAUCGUACCCCAAACCGACACAGGUGGUCAGGUAGAGAAUACCAAGGCGCUUGAGAGAACUCGGGUGAAGGAACUAGGCAAAAUGGUGCCGUAACUUCGGGAGAAGGCACGCUGACAC